CUUUGAUGAUGAAAGAAUGCUGAAUUUCUGUGGAAAUGAUUGUUGUACAAAAGCUUCAGAUAUCUGUCGCUGAGAUAGAUGAUGACUGGUGUGCAGUUUGAAGCAGAAACAAGGUGUUAAUCCAUCAACUGCAGCUGCGAAAUGAAACAU